rnacentral:rRNA from 1 species
GUAACGAGCGCAACCCUUGUCCUUAGUUACCAGCACGUUAUGGUGGGCACUCUAAGGAGACUGACCGGUGACAAACCGGAGGAAGGUGGGGAUGACGUCAAGUCAUCAUGGCCCUUACGGCCUGGGCUACACACGUGCUACAAUGGUCGGUACAAAGGGUUGCCAAGCCGCGAGGUGGAGCUAAUCCCAUAAAACCGAUCGUAGUCCGGAUCGCAGUCUGCAACUCGACUGCGUGAAGUCGGAAUCGCUAGUAAUCGUGAAUCAGAAUGUCACGGUGAAUACGUUCCCGGGCCUU